CGCAUCUGUGCAUGCAGCAUAUCAAUAACGGAGGAAAAGAAACUAACAAGGAUUCCCCUAGUAACGGCGAGUGAAGCGGGAAGAGCUCAAAUUUGAAAUCUUAAAGGGUUUCCCUUUACGAAUUGUAGUUUAAAGAAGUGUUUUCUGUUGAGGUUUUGGUAAAAGUUCUUUGGAAUAGGACAUCAUAGAGGGUGAGAAUCCCGUAUUUGACCUUUACUUUCAACUUUGUGAUACACUUUCAAGGAGUCGGAUUGUUUGGGAAUGCAGUCCAAAAUGGGUGGUAAAUUUCAUCUAAAGCUAAAUACUUGGCGAGAGACCGAUAGCGAACAAGUACCGUGAGGGAAAGAUGAAAAGAACUUUGAAAAGAGAGUUAAACAGUACGUGAAAUUGUCAAAAGGGAAGCGUUUGACACCAGUGUUGUUUUUCUGAAAAUCAAUUAAAGAACUGUUUAUGCUAAGCUGUUUAGACUUUAUCAGCUAUCUGUUUAGUUUUGAGCUUUUCUUUAAUGCACUUUUCAGUUAACAAGUCAACAUCAAUUUCUUUUGCUGUAAAAAAGCUUGAGGAAGGUGGCUUGAGAUUCGUCUUAAGUGUUUAUAGCCUCUUGCCUAUGCAGUCGGAGAGAUUGAGGUCUGCAGCGUAGAUCCUUCGGGGCUAAAUGCAUUUGUGCUAAGUUAUAGCAUUUUAUAGACAACUUGUUGACUAUGAUUUGUCUUGUAGCUUACUCGCUUAUGUUAUUUUACCUACGCUUAGGAUGUUGAGUCAUAGAGCACGCAG
rnacentral:rRNA from 1 species